UCUCUGGUUCCGAUCUUCAAGAAAGCUCUGCUUCAAUUCUUUCUCUAGGUAUAUAUAUAUAUAUAUAUAUAUUCUUGUAUUAGUAAAAUCCCCUAAAUUGAUCUCUGCUUUGCUUUCUCAUGCAGGUUUUUGAUUUUAAAUUUGAAGCUUGAAAAAAGGAAUUUCGCUACCAUGUUUCGAUCACCAAAAUCACCACGUGUUAUGACACCGCUAGAAAUGGUGAACGAGAAUCGAGAGUUCGAAAGGGUACUCCGGCUUGAAGCAAAUAUGACAAAAGUCAUCCGCGAUUAUGAAGCCAAGUUCAAUAGUUACGUUAAUGGUCGACGAGAUCAUUUUCGUCCGGUCAGUCAUAACUUUUUUCCUUUUUUUUUUAAAUCUGUAUAUACGAAUCACAUUUCAUUAAUAUAUAUAAUAGCUUAUUUCAAUUAUUCUUUGGCAUAUUUAAUCAUAAAUUGUUUUAAUUCUUGAAAAUGUGGCAGCCCAAUAUUGGUUUUUGGAGCAAAUUUGUUGGAAAAUUUUACGAC
rnacentral:lncRNA from 1 species